CGUGUGACGAAAAAUGAUGGAGGAAAAAGGGAAAAGCGGGGUCUGAAGUCUUUCGUUCGUCACACACACAUGCAUCUACCAGCGGAUUGCGCUGGACCGAGUCUACCCAUCUCUCUCGAUCAACCAUGAUUUUUCUGCUAUCGCGCUCAUCCGAGUGUGAGGCAUCCUCAGUCUGUCCAGAAUUUUCCCUGUGGAAGGAUGUACUGAAGUGAUGUGCGAUUUCUUGUGCGACGUACUUUGCUCUUUACGUUUUGUGCCGUGUUCCUUCUUCUUCAGUUAUGGAAUGAUUUAUCCUAGCAAAUUGUUGAGUUACAGGUGUGUGCGCUAUUUAUCAAAGACUACAUGCUGGCCUCGUCAACAAUGUUCAAAAUGAGCGACGGAAAGAAAACGUUUUUCAGUUUUAAAAUAUUAAGCGUUCAGCACAACACUGCCACAAACCAACGCACUGGAUUACGCCAAGAACCUGUCGAAACGCGCGCAGCUCCUUACUUAACAGAAGUCGGUUAAAAACGCGCAGCUCCUGUUCAUGACGUCAUGACUAAACUGAAGCCAGUGGAACACGCGCAGCACGGAUGGUACCCCGAGCGCG